rnacentral:rRNA from 1 species
AUGCAAGUCGAGCGGUAAGGCCCUUUCGGGGGUACACGAGCGGCGAACGGGUGAGUAACACGUGAGCAACCUACCCUCAACUUCGGGAUAAGCCUCGGAAACGGGGUCUAAUACCGGAUAUCACUCCUGCCUUCAUGGGUGGGGGUUGAAAGUUCUGGCGGUUGGGGAUGGGCUCGCGGCCUAUCAGCUUGUUGGUGGGGUAAUGGCCUACCAAGGCGUCGACGGGUAGCCGGCCUGAGAGGGCGACCGGCCACACUGGGACUGAGACACGGCCCAGACUCCUACGGGAGGCAGCAGUGGGGAAUAUUGCGCAAUGGACGAAAGUCUGACGCAGCAACGCCGCGUGAGGGAUGACGGCCUUCGGGUUGUAAACCUCUUUCAGCAGGGACGAAGCGAGAGUGACGGUACCUGCAGAAGAAGGACCGGCCAACUACGUGCCAGCAGCCGCGGUAAUACGUAGGGUCCGAGCGUUAUCCGGAAUUAUUGGGCGUAAAGGGCUCGUAGGCGGUUCGUCACGUCGGGAGUGAAAACUCGGAGCUCAACUCCGAGCCUGCUUCCGAUACGGGCAGACUAGAGGUAGGCAGGGGAGAGCGGAACUCCUGGUGUAGCGGUGGAAUGCGCAGAUAUCAGGAAGAACACCGGUGGCGAAGGCGGCUCUCUGGGCCUUACCUGACGCUGAGGAGCGAAAGCGUGGGUAGCGAACAGGAUUAGAUACCCUGGUAGUCCACGCCGUAAACGUUGGGCGCUAGGUGUGGGGGACAUUCCACGUCCUCCGUGCCGCAGCUAACGCAUUAAGCGCCCCGCCUGGGGAGUACGGCCGCAAGGCUAAAACUCAAAGGAAUUGACGGGGGCCCGCACAAGCGGCGGAGCAUGCGGAUUAAUUCGAUGCAACGCGAAGAACCUUACCUGGGUUUGAC